UUCCCAUUUUGUUAAGUUAAAAGACAGAAUUAUAAUGUUAUUGCAAGUUCUGUUUGUAAGUUCUGUUUUAUUUCCCAUUUUGUUAAGUUAAAAGACAGAAUUAUAAUGUUAUUGCAGAUCCUGCCAACAAGCCUUGGUUCCGCAAGCUGCGCCCUUCUCACAGCAUGCACUGGCAGGGGUUAUUGAUUCCAAUCCAAAUGGUGGCAUUCUGACUAUUUUUUAAGAAUAGAGAAAGGAGGUUAUUAAAAAUCCCAAAGAUAUGAGAAUCUGUUGUUGUUUGAUUUUUACAUAAUGCUGCUAUGGCUCUUACACAAGCAUUAAGCUAGUGCCGCUGCAUCCUCCUUUCUUUCUG
rnacentral:lncRNA from 1 species